rfam:Triticum aestivum genome assembly, contig: Triticum_aestivum_CS42_TGACv1_scaffold_406278_5BL
UUCUGUGUGAUGAAGAAAAUCGUUCGGAUUCCCACUGAUUCUUAAUGAUUAUCACAACCAGCUACUUCUGACAGAU